UAGGGAAUCUUCCGCAAUGGGCGAAAGCCUGACGGAGCAACGCCGCGUGAGUGAUGAAGGUCUUCGGAUCGUAAAACUCUGUUAUUAGGGAAGAACAAAUGUGUAAGUAACUAUGCACGUCUUGACGGUACCUAAUCAGAAAGCCACGGCUAACUACGUGCCAGCAGCCGCGGUAAUACGUAGGUGGCAAGCGUUAUCAGGAAUUAUUGGGCGUAAAGCGCGCGUAGGCGGUUUUUUAAGUCUGAUGUGAAAGCCCACGGCUCAACCGUUGAGGGUCAUUGGAAACUGGAAAACUUGAGUGCAGAAGAGGAAAGUGGAAUUCCAUGUGUAGCGGUGAAAUGCGCAGAGAUAUGGAGGAACACCAGUGGCGAAGGCGACUUUCUGGUCUGUAACUGACGCUGAUGUGCGAAAGCGUGGGGAUCAAACAGG
rnacentral:rRNA from 1 species